AUUGAACGCUGGCGGCAGGCCUAACACAUGCAAGUCGAGCGGAUGAAGGGAGCUUGCUCCUGGAUUCAGCGGCGGACGGGUGAGUAAUGCCUAGGAAUCUGCCUGGUAGUGGGGGAUAACGUCCGGAAACGGGCGCUAAUACCGCAUACGUCCUGAGGGAGAAAGUGGGGGAUCUUCGGACCUCACGCUAUCAGAUGAGCCUAGGUCGGAUUAGCUAGUUGGUGGGGUAAAGGCCUACCAAGGCGACGAUCCGUAACUGGUCUGAGAGGAUGAUCAGCCAGACUGGAAGUGAUAGACGGUCCAGACUCCGACGGGAGGCAGAAGUGGGGAAUAUUGGAGGAUGGGGGGAAGGAUGAUCCAGCGAUAGCGCGGGGGUGAAGAAGGUCUUCGAAUUGGAAAGCGCUUGUAUUGGGAAAGAAAAGCAGCAGGUUAAUACCUCGGUGUUAUGACGGUACCCAAAGAAUAAGCACCGGCUAACUUCGUG
rnacentral:rRNA from 1 species